AGAUUGAACGCUGGCGGCAUGCCUAACACAUGCAAGUCGAACGGGAGUAGCAAUACUCUAGUGGCGGACGGGUGAGGAAUACGUAGGAAUUUGCCCUUAAGUGGGGAUAACCCGGGGAAACCCGGAUUAAUACCGCAUGACCUCGAAAGAGCAAAGUGGGGGAUCGCAAGACCUCACGCUUUUGGAGAAGCCUACGUCGGAUUAGCUAGUUGGUGAGGUAAUGGCUCGACCAAGGCGACGAUCCGUAACUGGUCUGAGAGGAUGAUCAGUCACACCGGAAUGAGACACGUCCGGACUCUACGGGAGGCAGCAGUGGGAAUAGUUGGACAAGUGGGCGCAAGCCUGACUCCAGCAAUGGCCGACGUGGUGUACGAAGAACGGCCGUUUCGGGUAGUAAAGGACGUAACGUUUAAGUUAGG
rnacentral:rRNA from 1 species